GGAUGCGAUCAUACCAGCACUAAUGCACCGGAUCCCAUCAGAACUCCGAAGUUAAGCGUGCUUGGGCGAGAGUAGUACUAGGAUGGGUGACCCCUGGGAAGUCCUCGUGUUGCACCCA
rnacentral:rRNA from 1 species